UAAGGAAUAUUGCUCAAUGGGAGAAAUCCUGAAGCAGCAACGCCGCGUGGAGGAUGAAGGGUCUAUGACUUGUAAACUCCUGUAAAGAAGGAAAAAAUUCCCAUUUGAUGGGAGAUGAUGGUACUUCUGGAGUAAGCCCCGGCUAACUACGUGCCAGCAGCCGCGGUAAUACGUAGGGGGCAAGCGUUGUCCGGAUUUACUGGGUGUAAAGGGUGCUCAGGCGGAUUUGUAAGUCAGAGGUGAAAUCCUACAGCUUAACUGUGAAACUGCCUUUGAUACUGCAAGCCUAGAGUAUGGAAGAGAGUGAUGGAAUAUCUGGUGUAUCAGUGAAAUGCGUAGAUAUAAGAUAGAACACCAAUGGCGAAGGCAGUCACUUGGUCCAUUACUGACGCUAAAGCACGAAAGCGUGGGUAGCAAACA
rnacentral:rRNA from 1 species